rnacentral:tRNA from 1 species
GUUUAUAUAAUUUAAAUUUAAAAAUUUUGAUUUUGUAAAUCAACCUUAGAAUAAAUCUUUUAAACU